GAUGAACGCUGGCGGCGUGCCUAAUACAUGCAAGUCGAGCGAACGGACGAGAAGCUUGCUUCUCUGAUGUUAGCGGCGGACGGGUGAGUAACACGUGGAUAACCUACCUAUAAGACUGGGAUAACUUCGGGAAACCGGAGCUAAUACCGGAUAAUAUUUUGAACCGCAUGGUUCAAAAGUAAAAGACGGUCUUGCUGUCACUUAUCGAUGGAUCCGCGCUGCAUUAGCUAGUUGGUAAGGUAACGGCUUACCAAGGCAACGAUGCAUAGCCGACCUGAGAGGGUGAUCGGCCACACUGGAACGGAGACACGGUCCAGACUCCUACGGGAGGCAGCAGUAGGGAAUCUUCCGCAAAGGGCGAAAGCCUGACGGAGCAACGCCGCGUGAGUGACGAAGGUCUUCGGAUCGUAAAACUCUGUUAUUAGGGAAGAACAUAUGUGUAAGUAACUGUGCACAUCUUGACGGUACCUAAUCAGAAAGCCACGGCUAACUACGUG
rnacentral:rRNA from 1 species